UCCACUCCCUCUAGCACCCCCGACUCCCUUCCACUCAGCCCAGCUUGCUGCUUGGUUGCUUGCACGGUGUCACAUCGGUGUAGCAGUUUACAGAGACAGUAUAGUUCGCGACAAUUACGAUCGGCCGUACAGCAGGCAGUGGUGUAGAAGCAUGGAAUCCAAGGAUGCCGGCGCGUCGCAGCGACGACGACGACAUCGAUCUGUCGAGCGCGCUUGAUUAUCCGGAGUGCAUUUUAACCCGCGUGUUUUAAACGCGCCUGUAAUAAACGGAGCUCGCGCGAAACGGCCGCGAUUCACGAGCGUGCGGAACUUCCACGAGAUCCGCGCUACGUGCGGAUUUGCAUUUCUUACGAACGCGUUAAGCGCACAAAUCCGACCCACCUGCGUCGCGGUACUUUACGACGUUCCGACCAUUACCUCGAGAAUUAAAAAAUAAAGGAGACUGCACAGUUUAUAACGAUACAUCCAUGGAUCGCGACUCGAUCAGAGCAAUAGUCGAAUAUCCCGUCAAGUAUCAACGCAAGCAGAACGAAUUACGAAAAUAAGCCGUAUUAGCCAUGACAGAAAUUAGAAAUGUUGGCAUUGCUUGUAAACUUUCUGUAAACUUUCAUAAUAACUUACAACGAUAUCCACGUUCGAUCGUGAUAACGUAAACGUAGCACGAGAUGCACUUUUGCUAUUUCCCAUCGGGAAUUAAGCUCGCUGAAAUUAUACUGGUUUCAAUUUUCGAGCUUCACGGGCGUUCCUGAAAUUUUGAAAAUCAACCGAGCAAACAUGCCUUUAGUUCCACUGAAAUUUGCGUCUACGAUUGAGCAUAAAGGGGUCAUUGACCCUCAAAUCCGCGCCGUUCGCUUUCCGUAUCUCGAAAGCGGUUUGCAGAAACGCGUAGCUUCCCGUGUCCGCAAGAGCGCAUUCUCGUGCAGCGCUGAAUCCGCAUCGGGACAAAAGCGAGGAAGCUCCGCCUUGAUUUUUAUUUCCAUUUUCGGUCCAGUUACCGUGUCUCUCGUUUGUUUGAUUUGCCGCGGAAGACGAAGAACGCCGUUGCGGAACGCUCGAAAAUUUUCGCGCAAUUCUCCGAGAACUCUCGCGGGAAUGGGAACUUCUCGGAACGGAAAGCCGAACAAUUCCGUGUGAGAACAAUUACAGAAAUGUUAUGCAUUAUGCAUCAAUUUUGCAAUUUAAUUUGCCAGCGGUAUUUUUUUUCCGUACAACUCGCACGCGCAUUUUAAGAAAGCGCUCGAUCGCGGCGCAACUACGUGACUUUUUGCAACAGGCAAUCGUUUGCGACGAAACGGGCGGCGCAAUAUUUCAUUCGGAGCAUUCAAUUUCCGGUAUCAACGCGCCGCGUCUAGUAUAUCGCCUUUGAAACGAGGCCCGAGACCGAAUUUCCCGGUACAAGCAACACGAUCCGAUUUAGAGAUCGAUUACCGUCGCUCAAAAUGUUAAGUAGCGCGUAUGGAUUCAUUUUAAGGCUAACGUUUCUCGGAUAACGGCAAAAGGAGAAAUCCAAGUAUCGUUGCACGGUUUCGUGCCGAAAUUAACAAAUGCCUCGACGAUCACGAAAUCUUCGGCAAUUCCUCCAUGCAGAUUACGUAAUUCUCCUCGUAGAGAAAAAAAUCUAUAAUGACGUGACGACAAUAACAUCCGGUCGCCUACGAGGCGGAGAUUAAGGGAGAGCCACGAAACGGAUAGCUGUGGCGAGUACUUGGGACCACGUUAGUACUGCACUUUAAUAUAGGUAUACACGCAAGGGCCGAAUAUUAUGACCUGGCACCGUCAAGAGUCAAGAAGAUUUUCGGUGCGUUCGUGCGGCGCGACAAGGAACAGGCGAGAACUACCGUAAAAACUUUGGAGCGUUUCCAUUAUUUCGAGAGAGGAAGUAAAACGCCGAGCAGGACCGACGCUCGGGGGUUUCCAGAGGGUUUUCAACGCCGGUACGAGCUUGUUACAUAAAUCGCGCGAGUUGAUACGAAAACGAGAAUAUAUUCCUUUUUCUACGCUCGCGUGCUCUCUGAAAUUCUGCCAAGUAAGAUCGAACGUGUGUACGUUUGUUUAAAAUACCGUUUAUGACCUGAUCAAGACCUGACGUUAACAAUAAAGCGGAAGCGUUAAC
rnacentral:lncRNA from 1 species